GCUCCCGUGGUGAAAUGGAUAUCACAACGGUCUUCGGAACCGUCGUUGGGGGUUCGAGUCCCUCCGGGAGCACCU
rnacentral:tRNA from 1 species